CGUAUAUUAAAGUUGUUGCAGUUAAAAAGCUCGUAGUUGGAUUUGUGGUGUGUGGUGUGUUCCGGGCACUUGUUGUCUGAGUAACACGCUGCUGCCAUCCUUGGGUGGAACCUGUAUGGCAUUAGGUUGUCGUGCAGGGGAUGCCCAUCUUUUACUGUGAAAAGAUUAGAGUGUUCAAAGCAGGCUUAUGCCGUUGAAUAUAUUAGCAUGGAAUAAUGAGAUAGGACUUUUUCGCUAUUUUGUUGGUUUGCGCGAAGAGGUAAUGAUUAAUAGGGACAGUUGGGGG
rnacentral:rRNA from 1 species